rnacentral:tRNA from 1 species
GCCCAGAUGGCACAACGGUUACUGCACCUGUCUCGAAAACAGGAUCCGCAAGGAUAUCCAGGUUCGAUUCCUGGUCUGGGCG